AAGCUCUCGCACGCUUUUGUUCAAUUAGUAAACUCAGUCUAUCUAGCGUAGCUAUCUGUAAUGUGAGAAAAUAGACAUCAGACAAUAAUAAUUUCGCUCUUCAUGUGGAUUUCUUUUGACGGCGUUUAUUUACUAAAUGCAUGUUGUGGUCAGCCUGUAGUGGCAUUUAGAAUGGAAAAUUAUCUACUUUGUAGUUAGCUAGUUUGUCAUAACGUGCGAAACUAAAACUGAAUAUAUGUGCAAGGUGUCGGACCAGGCAACUGAUAUUUUGGAAGGACAGAUUUGAUCCAAUUUUCAGACAAACUUUCACCAGGUUGAACUUUUGAAAAUCUUCUGUUACUCUUCACUAGACAGGUGUUAAACCUUUCGCGUUUGUGUGGAAUCUUUUUUUUUUUAAUUUUCCCUCAGCAGAAGUCUUAUGGAGAGGCUUUUCAAACUGGGUGUUUUUAUCCUCAAGCGACUCUGGAUAUACGUACUGUGAGAUCGUAUAGCCGCUUACCCCCAGAGGCCACGUUGAAUGUUGACUUUACAAGAAUAGUCAAAAACGCCUAACUUCACCAUUAUUUGAAUGCCUUUGCAAGGAUUUUGCUGGUUUCUGUGCUGCAGAAAGGGUUUCAAUUUACUCGGACGGGACUAUGGGGAGAAAGAGGAGGAAGAAUCUUUUGAGUUGCGCAACAAGGAGGAUCUGACUUGCAACGGACGGGGUCCACUUGAGGUUACUCUCUCUCAGCCACCUCGUACAGCCAAUGGGACCAAUGGACACAGCCUGUCCGAAGUUCCUGAUGAGAUGAAGAACCUGAUCAUAGAAAAGAGCAAGAUAAUGGGCCUGGAGGAAAACCCUGAGCUGCUCGUCCAAGCUAGAAGAUGUUACCACUCAAUAAAAGCAAACCCUUCGUGCGAGUGGCGCUGCAAUUCUUGAAGAUGAGGGAAGAGAGGAGACGACUGCUUCGCGUCAUGGUAGUUGGAG
ensembl:lncRNA